rnacentral:rRNA from 1 species
UGUUUGAUGUUCUAACGUGGACCCGUAAUCCGGGUUGCGGACAGUGUCUGGUGGGUAGUUUGACUGGGGCGGUCUCCUCCUAAAGAGUAACGGAGGAGCACGAAGGUUGGCUAAUCCUGGUCGGACAUCAGGAGGUUAGUGCAAUGGCAUAAGCCAGCUUGACUGCGAGCGUGACGGCGCGAGCAGGUGCGAAAGCAGGUCAUAGUGAUCCGGUGGUUCUGAAUGGAAGGGCCAUCGCUCAACGGAUAAAAGGUACUCCGGGGAUAACAGGCUGAUACCGCCCAAGAGUUCAUAUCGACGGCGGUGUUUGGCACCUCGAUGUCGGCUCAUCACAUCCUGGGGCUGAAGUAGGUCCCAAGGGUAUGGCUGUUCGCCAUUUAAAGUGGUACGCGAGCUGGGUUUAGAACGUCGUGAGACAGUUCGGUCCCUAUCUGCCGUGGGCGCUGGAGAACUGAGGGGGGCUGCUCCUAGUACGAGAGGACCGGAGUGGACGCAUCACUGGUGUUCGGGUUGUCAUGCCAAUGGCACUGCCCGGUAGCUAAAUGCGGAAGAGAUAAGUGCUGAAAGCAUCUAAGCACGAAACUUGCCCCGAGAUGAGUUCUCCCUGAGACUUAGAGUCUCCUGAAGGAACGUUGAA